AAAGCAUUGUUCCCAGGAAUCCUGUUUUAAUCCUGUGCAGAUCACCUCCUUACUCUCUAUUGGGAGAGAAACAGCAAGUGGUCAAGCACCGUGCUGAUUAUAAAACUAAAAGACCCCCUCACGAAUUGGUUUCCACUCAAGUCAUGACCCUGGACAGGAGGCCCUGGGGCUCAGGCCAAUGAUGCCUGACUGAGGGGUGAAAAUAACUGGAUGGGGAGCUCCUCAAGGCCGUCUGAGGAUUUCCAUUUCUAGCGCAGCAACUCAGUGCAUCCUGGAGGCAGAUUCGCCAAAGCAGGAAAGGACCUACAUUUGUCAGCUCCUACUCUGGGACCAGCUUCAGCUCGUGGUGGGAAAUGGAAGCCCGCAGGAUACAUUUCUUUCCUGGGAAAACUAAGUCCAUUUCUGUCUCAUUCAGCCAAUUUCUUGUACCUUCUGGGAUGCCCUGGAAAACUCUUCUCUGGGGUUUGAGGGACAAUUUAGGAGAGAUUUCAAUGAUCCUGGCUGGUCCAGUGCUAAGACAAAAAUGCACAAAACAGUUCAAGAACAUACAACAGGACUUUGGGGAGUGCAG
rnacentral:lncRNA from 1 species